AUGUCGUCCUUGAUCAGAAAGGUGAUCAGCACUGCGAAAGCCCCAGGGGCCAUUGGUCCCUAUAGACAAGCUGUUAGUCGACAGAACCCUCUACAUUUCAGGACAGAUUGGCAUGGACCCUUCAAGUGGGCAGAUUGUGCCAGGAGGGGUAACAGAAGAAGCUAACCAAGCUCUUAAAAACAUGGGUGAAAUUCUGAAAGCUGCAGUCUGUGACUUCACUAAUGUGGUAAAAACAACUGUUUUGCUGGCUGACAUAAACGACUUCAAUACUGUCAGUGAAAUCUACAAACAGUAUUUCAAGAGUAGUUUUCCUGCUAGAGCUGCUUACCAGGUUGCUGCUUUGCCCAAAGGAGGCCAAGUUGAAAUUGAAGCAGUGGCUGUCCCAGGACCUCUCACAACAGCAUGACUAUAAGUGGGACCAGUGUUGUUUAGUCUGGAAUUUUUCACAUCUUAAUUUUUACAAUUGAUAUAACAUC